rnacentral:lncRNA from 1 species
GAGGAGUUGAGGCGUUGACGCUGCGAGGAGUUGCAGCAAGGUCGAUUGGUGGAUUCCUAUCGAUCGAGGACCGGCGAAGAUCACCAUCAACAAGAAAUUGGUAAAUUGAGUCGUGUAUUUUUGUCGAAAUCACUUGUACUCAAGUUUUCUUAGUGGAUUUUCUUUGCGUGAUCGGUCCCGUGGGUUUUUUACUCCGAAUUGGAGUUUUCCCACGUUAAAUUCUCGGUGUGCUGUUUUAAUUUCCGCUACUUUGUUUUAUUUGCAUCGAGAUUUUCGAGUUUGCCGGAUUUACACCUAUUCACCCCCCUCUAGGUGUUACUUACCUUUUAGAUCCUCGGGAUCCAUAUCUU